rnacentral:rRNA from 1 species
AUUGAACGCUGGCGGCAGGCCUAACACAUGCAAGUCGAGCGGAUGAAGGGAGCUUGCUCCUGGAUUCAGCGGCGGACGGGUGAGUAAUGCCUAGGAAUCUGCCUGGUAGUGGGGGAUAACGUCCGGAAACGGGCGCUAAUACCGCAUACGCCCUGAGGGAGAAAGUGGGGGAUCUUCGGACCUUACGCUAUCGGAUGAGCCUAGGUCGGAUUAGCUAGUUGGUGGGGUAAAGGCCUACCAAGGCGACGAUCCGUAACUGGUCUGAGAGGAUGAUCAGUCACACUGGAACUGAGACACGGUCCAGACUCCUACGGGAGGCAGCAGUGGGGAAUAUUGGACAAUGGGCGAAAGCCUGAUCCAGCCAUGCCGCGUGUGUGAAGAAGGUCUUCGGAUUGUAAAGCACUUUAAGUUGGGAGGAAGGGCAGUAAGUUAAUACCUUGCUGUUUUGACGUUACCAACAGAAUAAGCACCGGCUAACUUCGUG